UGGGGGAAUAUUGCACAAUGGGCGCAAGCCUGAUGCAGCAACGCCGCGUGAGGGAUGACGGCCUUCGGGUUGUAAACCUCUUUUAGCAGGGAAGAAGCGAAAGUGACGGUACCUGCAGAAAAAAGCACCGGCUAACUACGUGCCAGCAGCCGCGGUAAUACGUAGGGUGCAAGCGUUGUCCGGAAUUAUUGGGCGUAAAGAGCUCGUAGGCGGUCUGUCGCGUCUGCUGUGAAAAUCCCGAGGCUCAACCUCGGGCCUGCAGUGGGUACGGGCAGACUAGAGUGCGGUAGGGGAGAAUGGAACUCCUGGUGUAGCGGUGGAAUGCGCAGAUAUCAGGAAGAACACCGAUGGCGAAGGCAGUUCUCUGGGCCGUAACUGACGCUGAGGAGCGAAAAGCGUGGGGAGCGAAACAGGAUUAGAUACCCUGGUAGUCCACGCCGUAAAACGUUGGGCGCUAGAUGUGGGGACCAUUCCACGGUUUCCGUGUCGCAGCUAACGCAUUAAGCGCCCCGCCUGGGGAGUACGGCCGCAAGGCUAAAAACUCAAAAUG
rnacentral:rRNA from 1 species